GCCCAACAGGAAGCUGCCUGCAAUUUCAGGUAGCUUUUCUGACUCUUAAAGAGAUCUCAAGUAUACUUUCAGAGAAAUGCCAGCAAAAACUGUAGUCAUUCGGGAAGGAGUAAGUCUGGAAGAAAAAGAUACAGUGAACUAGCACAACGAGGAGUUUGAAAAGUUCAUGACAGCUCACAGCUCACGAUGGUGGCGAUCUUAAGGAUACAGAAAGCUCAUUCCUCAUGCAGGGAAGAAGAAAAUAUUCUAAAGAAGAGAUAAGCAUAUUCCGCAAAAUCAAAAAAGAGAUAGCUUUCCUCUGACUGGUACCUCAAACCACCACCCGCCCAAGCCAGUCAUCUGGGCCAUUUCUCCUGCUUGCAUGGGCUCACAGUUCUCUAUGCAUUCUUCUACCAUAGAACUUACCACAAAGGCUAGAAGCUCAGCAACUGCUAACAACCAGCUGGAGGGGUACAUCAAAAGCUAUGAGAGCCCAGAAGGAGAACAAUUAUUUAGAACUGGAGGGGCCAGUUGGGAAAGUCUUUGAAGGGUCUUCAGAAAAUGGCCCAAAAGAAAAGAGGAAAAGUCAUUCUACUGAGAGGUGUUUGUGUAACCAAAGCAACCGAGGUCUAAGAACUCACACAAGAUUUGAAAAGGGUGAAGGAUGCCUGGAAAGCUGGACUAGGAAAAGGUUGUGAAGGGCCCUGAAUGUUACUUGUCACAUGUUGCCUACAGCAUGCAGAAUCAAAACAUGAUAAAUCAUAUCUUGAAUCAUGACAUAUGAAGCAUGACACAUGAAUCAUGACGUGUGACACGUUGAAUGUCACAUGUCACAUGCCAGAGGCAGCCAUCAAGAGUAUUUGAAAGGGAAGUGUAUAAUCAUGCCUGUUCUUUAGUAAGACAAUUCGUAUAGUGUUCAGUGUGGAUUAAAAUGGAGAACACAGGUAUCAGUUUGACAUCGACAGCACAGGAAACCAUUUGGGUUUCUUGUACACCAAAAUAUUAAAACAUAUGUGCAAACACACCAACACAUUAAAAUCUUGAGAGAGAAGGGCCAAAAGUUCUUUGUCACUGGACUAAAAGUGGAAAUAAAUGUUUACAACCUCUAAGGUGGAUUAAGCUAAGAAUUUGGAGUUGUUGGCAAAACUGCCACAUAAAAUUUCAGAUAUGCAAAGAAAUGCAAUUGUAGACUUAUGCACAUACUUCCACCAGAGAAGGGAAUCUGGGCAGAGUGGGUGAAGCAAAAAACAUGUUCAAAGGUUAAGAAAUGCCUUGCUCUUACCAAGAAGAGCUAACAGCAUUUUCUUUGAAUCAGCUCUCAUAUUCCCUUAAAAAGAAAUUGAUAGUGUUGUAGAAAACUCACCUAUUGAAGAGAAAACAAAAUCAGCAACCCAGUAUGAGUUAACUGGUAUUAUGUUAAAGGGACAAGUAACUGUACUUUUGACAUACACCCUCUAAAAGGUAGGGUGGCAGUGUUUCAAAGAAUCAAGUCUGAGUAAUAGAAAAGCAUAUACCACUUCCCCAUAUACACGUUUGAGCAUGGGGGACCGGGAGGCUGGGUAAUUGAAUGCAGUUGUGCACAUUGGCCAUUCUCCCAUCAUGUACCAUUUCUUCGAUGUCUCUACCAAAAUUCUCCUUCUAAGUGACACAUCCCUUUAUUGAUCAUCUUUCCCCAUGCUGAUCAUCCUCAGGAAUCAUGUGAGUUAUUAGUCUAAGUAUUUGUUUUUCUCAAAUAUGGUCUUUUAACUGCUCCUUAAAUAUAUUAUGUAUACAUAGUUUGUUUUCCCAAUGUAACUACAAGCAUUUAAAAAAUGGGAAUAUUUGUCUAUAUUUCUGUAAUUUUUCAUCAUGCCUUGUGUGGUAUAUAAAAAUCAACAGCAAUAAAACAACAGUAAUAAUAGCAAGACAUUUUGAAUGCUAACUGUAUGUUCAGCACUAUUUCAAUAGCUUUACAGGUAUUUACUGAUUUAAUUAUUACAACCACUGCAUGAAGUAGAUACUAUUGUUGUCAUCAGUUUGUACUUGAGGAAACUGAGUCAUGGGAAGUUUAAUUAUCUUUUCCAUAGUCACAAAGCCAUUAAGUGUAUGAUCUCAGACAGUCUGACACCUGAGCUGUGCUUCAAUGUACCUGUUAAGAUAUUCUUUUUCUUGAAUUCAAAUUCUGAAAGGAAAACAGAGUUGAAAAUCCAAGGCCCUAGCUAAUCAAGUAAAGUUUUGCUUUAAAAACAUCAAGAAGCAAUCUUCCUAAGGUCUCUGCAUGAUUUCGUGGCCCAUCACAGAACACGGUCAUCUUUGACUUCUACACCAAGGAAAAUGUGGCUUAUGGAUUCUUGGAUAGAACCUACUGCAUGGCCUCUAUCUUCAUACGCCCUUGCUGGGAUUUGAAGAUAAUAUGAAUAAAGUAGAUUUAGUGGAAGUGAGGAGAAGGAACAUUCUGAACAAAAAACACUUGUUCCACUUGGCCAGCUACCUAUAUUCUCAUCAAGGGAGAGUUGGCCACAGUUAAUACCACAUCAAAGUGCAAACUCUGUACCAGCUUGCACCUUUACUUAUUCCUACCUUUAACACACACAUCGCAUAACAUGUAUAAUUCUUAUUCUGGGUAUAGUUGGUGGUAGGAAGGUUUUCACACAUUUGAGAUUCUAUUUGGUGAGUAUAUAGUAACAACACAAGAAAUGUGCCAUCAGACUACUGUUCAGCAGUUUGCAAAGAUGGCUACAACAAUUCUUGUGAUUCUUAUGCACAUGUUUUUGCUAUGGAACUUUGUCACCCUUUCCCAUCAAGAUACACAGUCUAUUUCUUUUUCCAUUUAAUUUGGCCCUGUGACUUGCCUAAAACCAACAGAAGGCUGCAGAAGGGACAUCAUAUGACUUCAGAGUCUCAGCAGCAAAAGGCCUUUCAGCUUCUGCUUUCAGGCUGUCAUUGCUGCGAGAUAGGAAGCCUGGGCUAGCCUCUAUGAGAAUGAGAGACCACACCUGGUCAACAAGGAGAGCCAACCUGCAGCCAUGUGAGUGAGACCAUCCAGCCUCAGUUAAGCUGCCAGAUGACUGCAGCCAGAUAAGUGGCUACAGGCAAGACCAGUAAAAGAACAAACUGCCUGAGCCCAGCCCAAAUUGCUAAG